CAGCUGGGCCGGACGGUCGCUCCCGGCAAGGGAGAGGAAAGUCCGAACUCCGCAGAGCAGUGUGCCGGAUAACGUCCGGGAGGCCGGGUUCAAGCCCGUCCGACGGAAAGUGCCACAGAAAACAUACCGCCUGGGCUGCGAAGUCCGGGUAAGGGUGAAAAGGUGCGGCAAGAGCGCACCGCCGCCGCAGUAAUGCGGCGGGCAGGGCAAACCCCACAUGGAGCAAGACCAAAUAGGGAGGAAGUUCCGGCUUCGGCUGGACGCGUGUCGGCUCGGUGCGCCAAACCUCCGGGUAGGUCGCUAGAGCUGUGCAGCAAUGCGCGGCCCAGAGGAAUGGCCGUCCUGCCGGAUCUUCCGGCAGACAGAAUUCGGCUUAUAGGUCCGGCUGCCAC
rnacentral:RNase_P_RNA from 1 species